AACGAACGCUGGCGGCAGGCUUAACACAUGCAAGUCGAGCGCCCCGCAAGGGGAGCGGCAGACGGGUGAGUAACGCGUGGGAAACUACCCUUUGGUACGGAAUAACACAGAGAAAUUUGUGCUAAUACCGUAUGAGCCCUUCGGGGGAAAGAUUUAUCGCCAUAGGAUGUGCCCGCGUAGGAUUAGCUAGGUGGUGUGGUAAUGGCGCACCAAGGCGACGAUCCUUAGCUGGUCUGGGAGGAUGACCAGCCACACUGGGACUGAGACACGGCCCAGACUCCUACGGGAGGCAGCAGUGGGGAAUAUUGGACAAUGGGCGCAAGCCUGAUCCAGCCAUGCCGCGUGAGUGAUGAAGGCCUUAGGGUUGUAAAGCUCUUUCACCCACGACGAUAAUGACGGUAGUGGGAGAAGAAGCCCCGGCUAACUUCGUGCCAGCCGCCGCAGUAAGAC
rnacentral:rRNA from 1 species